GGCUUUGUUAUGAAAGUAUGCCUAAAUAUGUCUAAAGUAUUUGAGAAAACGCACCGAACAUACCUAUGUUCCGGGUUUUGACUUGUACAAUGUGUGGUUACCAUCAUUAGUCUGAAUAGGUAAGGUACGUUAACAGUGCAUUUCACUGAAACCACCACUGAAGUCUCAGCCAACAUCAUGGCAGCAUUAGGACUCCUAUGGCUUGUGAGCUCCAUAGCAUCCAUCCUUGUCAAAUGUGAAGAUGCAACAUCUGAACACAAAAAGAUCUACCCAGCAAAGAUAUUUGGACCAUCUAGCGUGACUGAAGGGGUAAACAUCCAUUUUAAAUGUAGCACUACUGGCAUCAGAGGACCUGAGGACAAGUUAAAUUUUUACCUUUGCAAGAAUGGAGUUGGGAUAAGAAUUGUGCUGCUGGAGAAAGGUGAAGAUGACGCUAUUUUCGACAUGAAGAAUGUCACAAGAGAAGACUCAGGCAACUACAGCUGUGUGUACACCAGAGAUAAACUUGUACCCAGUCACUUGAGGUCAACAGGGGAUAAUUUAGUAGUAUUUCAGGUUGAUGGAGAACAGAAAGAGGGACUAGAGAAUAUGGGAGGACAAGGGAGAGCGGGACUGGCAGCAGCCUUGGUCCUCCUGUUUCUGACGCUGUCUGUACUGCUGUUAGUGUGGAGGUACUGGGGAAUCCUGAAACAAAUGAUAAGUAUUGACCAUCAACCAAGUGAGAAUCAGGAUACGGAUCAAACAUACAGUCUAAUCUCAGUUGUACCAGUCACAACUGGUGUAAUUGAGGUCCCCUUUGAUGGUGAUGAAGGACACUAUUCUAUGAUAGGGCUGGAAUCGUCAGGGAGACUACGAAAGAAUCCUGAGCCCUUGGGUUCACAAGGUGUGUCAGGCAUGGGAUCGGUGGUUCAUCACUCUCCAACUGAUCCUACAGGAGAUGAGGCUCUGUGCAGCGUAAUAACAAGAGUGAAAAGACCAGAACAGCAGGGUGAAACUGCCAUCUAUGCCAAAGUGAAAACAAAGAAGGAGAAAGAAAAACAGGACCCUGUUUACAGUCUGUGUCAUUACAAAUACAGUAGUUCUAUACAGUAG
rnacentral:lncRNA from 1 species